rnacentral:lncRNA from 1 species
CGGAAAAAACUUUCUUUAUCAGUAUACUGCUUCCAGCAUGUCCAUUUGUGAAAUAUAAAAAACAAAAUUCCAUUUCCCAUGACUCCAUGUAUGAAUAAAGUGGUCAAAGGGGUAGUAAUAAGUCAUAUAGAAUCAACUGAUUCAUGGUAAACUCAAAUCCCUCGAUGAUGUAAUUUAUUACAAUUUUUUGGCUAAUAGAGGGAUCAAAUGGUUUAGAAUCAUCGUCCUACA